rnacentral:rRNA from 2 species
AGAGUUUGAUCCUGGCUCAGAACGUACGCUGGCGGCACGCCUAACACAUGCAAGUCGAACGAAGUAGCAAUACUUAGUGGCAGACGGGUGAGUAACAUGUAGGUAUCUGCCCUUUGGCCUGGAAUAACACGAGGAAACUUGUGCUAAUACCGGAUAAGUCUUUACGGAGAAAGCUUUAUGCACCAUUGGAUGAGCCCGCACUUGAUUAGUUUGUUGGUAGGGUAAUGGCCUACCAAGACUAUGAUCAAUAGCUGAUUUGAGAGGAUGAUCAGCCACAUUGGGACUGAGACACGGCCCAAACUCCUACGGGAGGCAGCAGUGGGGAAUCUUGCACAAUGGAGGAAACUCUGAUGCAGCGAUGCCGCGUGAGUGAAGAAGGCCCUUGGGUUGUAAAGCUCUUUCGUCGGGGAAGAAAAUGACUGUACCCGAAUAAGAAGGUCCGGCUAACUUCGUGCCAGCAGCCGCGGUAAUACGAAGGGACCUAGCGUAGUUCGGAAUUACUGGGCUUAAAGAGUUCGUAGGUGGUUGAAAUAGUUGGUGGUGAAAUCCCAGAGCUUAACUCUGGAACUGCCAUCAAAACUUUUCAGCUAGAGUAUGAUAGAGGAAAGCAGAAUUUCUAGUGUAGAGGUGAAAUUCGUAGAUAUUAGAAAGAAUACCAAUUGCGAAGGCAGCUUUCUGGAUCAUUACUGACACUGAGGAACGAAAGCAUGGGUAGCGAAGAGGAUUAGAUACCCUCGUAGUCCAUGCCGUAAACGAUGUGUGUUAGACGUUGGAAAUUUAUUUUCAGUGUCGCAGGGAAACCGAUAAACACACCGCCUGGGGAGUACGACCGCAAGGUUAAAACUCAAAUGAAUUGACGGGGACCCGCACAAGUAGUGGAGCAUGUGGUUUAAUUCGAAGAUACGCGCAGAACCUUACCAACACUUGACAUGUUCGUCGCGACUCUAAGAGAUUAGAGUUUUCGGUUCGGCCGGACGAAACACAGGUGCUGCAUGGCUGUCGUCAGCUCGUGUCGUGAGAUGUUGGGUUAAGUCCCGCAACGAGCGCAACCCUCACUUUUAGUUGCCAUCAUUAAGUUGGGCACUCUGAAAGAACUGCCAGUGAUAAGCUGGAGGAAGGUGGGGAUGACGUCAAGUCCUCAUGGCCCUUACGUGUUGGGCUACACACGUGCUACAAUGGCAUCUACAACAGGAAGCAAAACGGCAACGUUAAGCAAAUCCCGAAAAGAUGCCUCAGUUCGGAUUGCACUCUGCAACUCGAGUGCAUGAAGCUGGAAUUACUAGUAAUCGUGGAUCAGCGUGCCACGGUGAAUGCGUUCCCGGGUCUUGUACACACCGCCCGUCACACCAUGGGAGUUGGUUCUACCUUAAGGCAAGGUUUUAAACCCUUGACCACGGUAUAGUCAGCGACUGGGGUGAAGUCGUAACAAGGUAACC